UCCCUGGAGGACUAGUGGUUAGGCCUUGGCGCACUCACUGCCACAGCUUGCCUUCGAUUCCCAGCCAGGGAA